rnacentral:rRNA from 1 species
UACGUAGGUGGCAAGCGUUGUCCGGAUUUACUGGGCGUAAAGAGCGCGCAGGCGGUCGUUCAAGUCGCGUGUGAAAGCCCCCGGCUCAACCGGGGAGGGUCGUCGGGGACGGGUGAGCUUGAGGGUAGCAGGGGCUGGUAGAAUUCCCGGUGUAGUGGUGAAAUGCGUAGAGAUCGGGAGGAAUACCCGUGGCGAAGGCGGCCAGCUGGGCUACACCUGACACUGAGACGCGAAGGCGUGGGGAGCGAACGGG